rnacentral:lncRNA from 1 species
UCAAAAGUGCUUCUUGCCCCCAGACCUGUUAAGACCAGUUAAGCUGAUUAUUUAAAAAGAUUUAUUUUAUUUGUUUUAAUGGCAAAAUUAGAGAGAGAGAGAGAGAGAGUCUUCCAUAGGCUGGGUCACUCCAAAUGGCUGCGAUGGUUGGCACUCAGCCAGGCAGAAGCCAGGAGCCAGGAACUCCAUCCGGGUCUCCCACGUGGGUUGCAGGAGUCCAAGUGCUUGGGCCAUCUUCCACUGCGCGUUAGCAGGAAGCUGGAUCAUGCGUGGAGAAGCUGGAGACUCGAACAAGUGCGCCUAUGGAAUGUUGGCAUUGCAGGGGGUGGCUUACUUUACCAGCUAUGCCACAACACGGGCCCAAGCUGGUUUAUUUCGUUGUUUUGUUUGUUUGUUUUGGUAAAUGAUAUUCACCCAUGGAAUAGAGUAAUCGCAGGCAAGUUGAAUUCCUGGAGAGUGGAAGCUUGAAGGUGGUCAAAAGGGGGACGGGUAUUCUUGGAGGAGGGAACACAUUCUGCAAAGCGUCUUAGGCAGAACAAGACUUUCUUUGUGGCACUUAAGGAAUGCCAUGUGCUGUGGCUUCAGCUUCCUGUGGGAAAGCAGGAAGACGUGAGGCUGAAAUGGAGAGCGGAUCUGAGCAGGAGGAGGGUUACCUCCCUAAUACGCACCUGUUCUCCAGGAGUAGAAUCUCCCUUUGGAGUCUUUGGAGGAGACCUUCAUGAUGGUUAAUCCAAGGCGGCGCCUUGCUGACGUCAUGGUUAACCAGUUUCUGCUGGAGAAAGCACUUACAGGCAUGAGCCAAGUCAACAGAUUGUGCACAAUGCAAAAUACAGGAGGUCCUGUUCAUUGCACGUGGAGCUUCCUCCCUAGCAAGAACCACAGCUGCGGCUGGGGCUUCCUGCCCACAUUCCAGCAGACCUUGCCCUGCAGGGGCUGCGAUCCAGCUGACCGGAAGCACUCGGGUAUGAGCAACUUCCGGCUCAGCCCCCAGCUGAUGAUGAGGGGGAGUUACUGCAGAACACUCCCUGGUCCCCCUCGCAUAGGGGCUUCACCCCGAGGUAGCUGCUUCCUAGAGAUGUCUCAGAAACAUUGCGCCUUAGAUGCCAGUCCUCUCAGAAGCCUCAUGAAUUUCCCCAGGACAGAGACUUAA